UGACACAUUUUUGUUUUCAUCUCCAUAUCGUUUUGCCCAUAUACCUUUUUUUUUUUGCAAAAGGUUAAAACUGCAAGCUCCACAUACGGAUAUUCCCUAAACUUACACACAAUACCCCUUAUUAUCAGCAUAUUAGGCUACCAACAAUGCAUUAUCUUAAUACAUAUAUUUGAGAAAAAUAAAGACAACAGUCCAAGUUCACUAGGCAAAAAUACAAAGUAUUCAGUAAAAAUACCCUGCACCCUGGGUAGAAAGCGAAAGGUGUGUGCUUCCCUAGCGACGGCUAUUGUAAAUAAUCAAAGGAAAAUGGCGACCGGGUAGGUCCGGUUGCUAUUGCAACAUUGUCAAAAGGUUGUUACCGUCAAUUUCCUCCUAUUUAAUUCCAGAAAUGGUCAGCAGCCCACAGUCAAGUACGGCCAUGCUGAUGAUGUCUCUGAUCUGGAAGUACUAUGCUGACCCAGUGACGGUUCUGCCCAGUAAGUGGCUUUUCUCCUCUAGAGCGAAUGGUGGCUGCCCAUCUGGAGUAGCAGGUAAGCCAGAUUACAGUGCCUGCACUGAGAGGGGCUCUUAACACCAGGUGGGGUUGCAUCUUCAAUGGUUCCCUAUGUAGUGCGCUAUUGUAUUAAUGCUCUUCCAGGGAUCCAGACUGCGACCAUAUAGUUGUAUUUUGUUACCCUUUGACUUGGUUUUGCAAGUUACAUUUUUUGUUGGUCACACUAGUGCGGGCUGUACAUUCUACCUGGUCACCUCACUCAAAACAUCUUGUUUUUUUUUGCGCAUAAAACCAUUAUUUGGUCUAAUGGUGAAGUGCAUGAUUCCUGUAAUGAAAGUGUCUGCCCUGCUGCUGUGCCUGGUUCACACUUUUACAAUUGAGAUAUUUUUUUAUUUUUUUUAUUUUACCUUUAUUUAACCAGGCAAGUCAGUUAAGAACAUAUUCUUAUUUUCAAUGACGGCCUGGGAACAGUGGGUUAACUGCCUGUUCAGGGGCAGAACGACAGAUUUGUACCUUGUCAGCUCGGGGGUUUGAACUCGCAACCUUCCGGUUACUAGUCCAACGCUCUAACCACUAGGCUACGCUGCCGCCCCAUAUAUGAUAUGGCUUUGAAAUACGGAGCUGUGCAUCGGCCAUUACGAGUGCACUAGGCCUCAUUGGGUAGUAGGUUUGAACUUGGUAGGAAAUCAAUUGUGUUCAAUGCAUUGAACUCAUUAAAACAUUUAUACAUUUUCCCAAGUGUAUAAUAAGACAUUUUUAUUUCACCUUUAUUUAACCAGGUAGGCCAGUUGAGAACAAGUUCUCGUUUACAACUGACCUGGCCAAGACAGCAAAGCAGUGCGACAAAUUAGAAGGAAAAAAAACAGAAAAUCACAGUGUAGGAUUUUUAAUGAAUUUAUUUGCAAAUUAUGGUGGAAAAUAAGUAUUUGGUAAUAACAAAAGUUUAUCUCAAUACUUUGUUAUAUACCCUUUGUUGGCAAUGACAGAGGUCAAACGUUUUCUGUAAGUCUUCACAAGGUUUUCACACACUGUUGCUGGUACUUUGGCCCAUUCCUCCAUGCAGAUCUCCUCUAGAGCAGUGAUGUUUUGGGGCUGUUGCUGGGCAACACGGACUUUCAACUCCCUCCAAACAUUUUCUAUAGGGUUGAGAUCUGGAGACUGGCUAGGCCACUCCAGGACCUUGAAAUGCUUCUUACAAAGCCACUCCUUCGUUGCCCAGGCGGUGUGUUUGGGAUCAUUGUCAUGCUGAAAGACCCAGCCACGUUUCAUCAUCAAUGCCCUUGUUGAUGGAAGGUUUUCACUCAAAAUCUCACGAUACAUGGCCCCAUUCAUUCUUUCCUUUACACAGAUCAGUCGUCCUGGUCCCUUGGCAGGAAAACAGCCCCAAGGCAUGAUGUUUCCACCCCCAUGCUUCACAGUAGGUAUGAUGUUCUUUGGAUGCAACUCAGCAUUCUUUGUCCUCCAAACACGACAAGUUGAGUUUUUACCAAAAAGUUAUAUUUUUAUUUCAUCUGACCAUAUGACAUUCUACCAGUCUUCUUCUGGAUCAUCCAAAUGCUCUCUAGCAAACUUCAGACGGGCAUGGACAUGUACUGGCUUAAGCAGGGGGACACGUCGGGCACUGCAGGAUUUGAGUCCCUGGCGGCGUAGUGUGUUACUGAUGGUAGGUAUUGUUACUUUGGUCCCAGCUCUCUGCAGGUCAUUCACUAGGUCCCCCUGUGUGUUCCUGAGAUUUUUGCUCACCGUCCUUGUGAUAAUUUUGUCCCCGCGGGGUGAGAUCUUGCGUGGAGCCCCAGAUCGAGUGAGAUUAUCAGUGGUCUUCUAUGUCUUCCAUUUCCUAAUAAUUGCUCCCACAGUUGAUUUCUUCAAACCAAGCUGCUUACCUAUUGCAGAUUCAGUCUUCCCAGCCUGAUGCAGGUCUACAAUUUUGUUUCUGAUGUCCUUUGACAGCUCUUUGGUCUUGGCCAUAGUGGAGUUUGGAGUGUGACUGUUUGAGGCUGUGGACAGGUGUCUUUUAUACUGAUAACAAGUUCAAACAGGUGCCAUUAAUACAGGUAACGAGUGGAGGACAGAGGAGUCUCUUAAAGAAGAAGUUACAGGUCUGUGAGAGCCAGAAAUCUUGCUUGUUUGUAGGUGACCAAAUACUUAUUUUCCACCAUAAUUUGCAAAUAAAUUCAUUAAAAAUCCUACAAUGUGAUUUUCUGGAUUUUUUUCUUCUCAUUUUGUCUGUCAUAGUUGAAGUUUACCUAUGAUGAAAAUUACAGGCCUCUCUCAUCUUUUUAAGUGGGAGAACUUGCACAAUUGGUGGCUGACUAAAUACUUUUUUGCCCCACUGUAUAUGUAUGUGUGUAUAUAUAUAUAUAUAUAUACUGUAUCCCACACUAUCUAUUGAAUUAUCCGCUCUGUCACUGCUCAUCCAUAUAUUUUAUAUAUUCUUAUCCCAUUCCUUUACUAGAUUGUGUGUAUUAGGUUUUGUUAUGGAAUUGUUAGAUAUUACCUGUUAGAUACUGCUGCACUGUCGGAUCUAGAAGCCUAAGCAUUUCACUACACUCGCAAUAACAUCUGCUAACCAUGUGUAUGUGACCAAUAAAAUUUGAUUUGAUUUGAUGAAACUUGCUCUCAUGAGGACCGCUACAGGAAAAGACCCAGAGUUGCCUCUGCUGCAGAAGUUCAUUAGUUACCAUUCUCAGAAAUUGCAGCCCAAAUAGUACACAUAAAGAUGAAGGCAAAUUGAAAAUAAAAAACAUCUGUAUCUUCUGGUGCCCUAAUUUUGACUUUCAAAUCUAAAGAAUUAUAGCCUAUUUGUUAACCUAACAAUCAUGACAAUCACUAGAUUAGGUUGCAAAUCAAAAUCUUUUCAAUCAUGGAUUCCUGCUUGGACAUGUUAGAUGUAACAACUUAUUUAUUGAAUACCAGUAGUUUAUGACACAUCUUAUAAAGCAUUAUGAAUGACUUGAUAAUAUAAUGACAAAUAUUUAUAUUGUGUGACGCUGUAAUUAAUUUUUGUUGGGGUGCGAGCAAAUCAUGGUCUUGUGCCAUCAACUGAAAAAGUUGGUAGUCUGGAGCGCUGUAUUCUAUCCAUUCAACUCAAUAUCUGUUUUGUUUUAAAAGUCUGACUAGAACCAAGCAAUGAUUUUACCUUCAUAGGUAGAGGUUUACCUGGGCUCAAUGUGAACAGAAUUAACACCAGUUCCCCAAGCUUUAAAGUCAUACACUGAUUAUACAAAACAUUUUAAGAACACCUUCCUAAUAUUGAAUGCCCCCCCCCCCACCCCCCCCCAGUCUACAAGGUGUCAAAAGAGUUCCACAUGGAUGCUGGCCUCCAUGUUGACGCCAAUGCUUCCCACAAUUGUGUCAAGUUGGCUGAAUGUCCUUUUGGGUCACCACCAUUCUUGAUACACACUGUUGAAUGUGGAAAAACCCAGCAGUGUUGCAGUUCCUGACACAAACCGGUGGGCCUGUCAUCUACUACCAUACCCCGUUCAAAGGCACUUCAAUAUUUUGUCUUGCAAAUUCACCCUCUGAAUGGCACACAUACACAAUCCAAGACUUUAAAAUCAUUCCUUAACCUGUAUCCUCCCCUUCAUCAACACUGAUUUGAAGUGUAUUUAGCAAGUGACAUCAAUAAGAGAUCAUAGCUUUCACCUGGAUUCCCCUGGUCAAUCUACAGGGGUCUGAAUACUUUCCAAAUGCACUGUAUGUCAUGGAAAUGUUCUUGUUUUGUACACUCACUGUAUUUUGGAGAACUUUUCCUCAGUUCUGUUUAAACCCUGAAGUCUCUGUUUCUCUGAGAACAGUAAUACCUAUGGAUCUUCAUAAGUCCCUGCCUGUAAAUUUGUCAUAUUUUCAUGGUUUGCAUUUUUUUAGCUUGAUCUGUGACUUUCAGAAUCUUGAACGCUUACGUUUAGAAAUCAGGUUAGAUGACAUGGAUAUGGUCUCUGGGACUGUAUCUAACUGGUAGUAUAAUGAUGCUUCAUUAACCAGCUCUUGUGCCUGUGUUUCAGAUGGCGUUGGAAUCCCAUGGCAGCUCAUUGUUUGUAACAAGGCUGUUACAUUUUGAUAAACCAUCAGGAUUG